rnacentral:misc_RNA from 1 species
UUUCCGUAGGUGAACCUGCGGAAGGAUCAUUAACGAGUUAGGGUCUUCCAGGCCCGACCUCCCAACCCUAUGUUUAUUGAACCUCUGUUGCUUCGGCGGACCCGCCUCACGGCCGCCGGAGGACCGCUGCAAGGCGUCCUCUGGCCAGCGUCCGCCGAUGGCCAACCACUUAAACUCUGAAUGAAUCGUGUCAUAUGUCUAAGUCUAUGAUUAAAUUAAAGCAGAACUUUCAACAACGGAUCUCUUGGUUCUG